UGAGAUGACAUUGUAGGUAAAAUGGUU
rnacentral:piRNA from 1 species